AACCAAAGCAGGUUUAUAGGCGAGUGACUUUAGCUUAUUACUCUUAAACACUGAAAAUGAAAGAAAGAAACAAAAUAAAAUAUGUUUCCUUUCUAAACUAUUCCACAAUAAACUCCUGUAACUGUUCUAAUCUUUAUUUUUAGUACGUUAGUAGUAACUUUGCUUUUCCUUCUAGGACGAGUCAACAUGUCUGCAGUUGUCAGACAGCAGCGUUAUCUGUCCACCGCAGGGGCUGAUGGGAGGUGUGAGGAGCCUUCAGGAACCACGUGGCCCUCGUCUGAUCUCACAGCUCGUCCUUGUUUGGCCUCAGCUGCAUCAGAGCGCCACUUCUCCCCAGGUUCACCAGAGGAAACACCACUGCACACAAUGCUUUUCCUCCCAGCUGCUGCUCUGUGCUGUCUGUGUUCAGCGCUGGUUGCCAUGGCAGCAGAGCUGAUUCAGGAGGAUUUAACAUUGACCAGGAGAGUUGGUGGAAAAGUUUCCUUCAGCUGUCGAGGAACUGACCAGUGUAGCUAUAAUUAUGUAUUCUGGUACCAGAAGACAGACACAGAAACAUUCAGAGUGAUUCUUUAUAUUGAUAAGAGAGAUGGUCAAAUAGAUUCAAGUUACAAUCAUCCUCAGAAAGAUGAUUUCUCAGCUGUGAAUAAACAGAACGGCUGUGAGUUGGAGAUCCAGAAGGUUAAACUCAAUCAUUCAGCCUCCUACUACUGCUCCUGUUUUGUUCUCCACAGUGAUAAAUGAUGCCUGCAGCCUGUACAAAAACCAUCAGAGGAACAGAUGUCAAACAGUGGUUGUGACAGGAAGAGAGCAGUAAACCACAGCCCAGGUUCACAUAUUCCACCUCCAUCUCAGCCACAGUCACACACACACUGAACUGAGGGAUUCAUUAGAUUUGAUAUUCAUUCAUAUUUCUAUCAGAUAUUGCAGCAGGUUUAUUGUUGUUCCACACAGUGAGGACAAACUAGUGGCACAGAGGCACAAGGAUGAAAUCAUUUAAAGACAUCAGACUAAUAAAUGGGAUCAGUCCUCACUUAUGUUGCUUAAUGAAAAUGAGAGACAAGAUCCUGACCGACAUAUAUCUAUUUUGAAGUUUUCAACCAGUCUUACUUAUUUGGGCAUCAAAAUAGUACCUCAAGAAAAUAUAGCCUUAAUAAAUGACGACCUUAUAAUGGA